rnacentral:rRNA from 1 species
GUGAGGAAUAUUGCGCAAUGGAGGCAACUCUGACGCAGCCAUGCCGCGUGCAGGAAGAAGGCGCUACGCGUUGUAAACUGCUUUUAACCGGGAAGAAACCCCAGGACGUGUCCUGGGUUGACGGUACCGGAGGAAUAAGCACCGGCUAACUUCGUGCCAGCAGCCGCGGUAAUACGAAGGGUGCAAGCGUUAUCCGGAUUCAUUGGGUUUAAAGGGUGCGUAGGCGGAGCGUUAAGUCAGUGGUGAAAUCCUGCAGCGUAACUGUAGACUUGCCAUUGAUACUGGCGCUCUUGAGUGCGCUUGAAGUGGGCGGAAUGUGCCGUGUAGCGGUGAAAUGCUUAGAUAUGGCACAGAACACCAAUUGCGAAGGCAGCUCACUAAGGCGAUACUGACGCUGAGGCACGAAAGCGUGGGGAUCGAACAGGAUUAGAUACCCGUGUAGUCC